CAACAUUAAAAAAAGUUUUGCAUUAUAACAGGAAGAGACAAAGGAAUAUUACAUUACAAUUACAGUGGAGCACUUACAGAUCAAGAAAAUAGACAUAGUUCAGCCAAAAAUCCAACCUAUGGAUUUGCCUGACUUUGAAAAGUUUCAUUUAAUAUUUUUUAGUCUUACCAAACAAUGAUGAUCAGCAUAAUUUUGAAAAAGCGAUUUUUAAUCUCUGUCCCCAGCCGCCUUUCAUUCUCUGUGUAGAUUCCUUGUCUUCCCUUCAAUAAAGAUGCAACUGAGAAGCAGAAAUGAAGUGUGUUCAUUAUAUCGUUCUAUAAAGAAGCCGAUCCUGCCUAGCAAGAGCAAGCCUGCCACAUUUUGAAUGCAGAAGGCAAUAUGUCAUGGAUCUGCCCCCGCCCCCACUUUCUACCAACAACAUUGCAAGCAGAAGCUAUCAAGAAGUAAGGUCGAUGAUGGACAAGGAUUUGAUUCUGCUGCUCUGCUUUCCAAAGUUUAUUUCCCAUGUAACUCAGCAGAGCUACCUGCCUGGCCAAUAAGGAAAAGACCAGCAAUAUAAGAAUCUCCUGUCUGCUCUCUAGUCAAUUAUAGCCGUUUUCUGGAAAGAAGGAUGAAUAAUCUGCAUUCUCAGUGACCUUUGUCAUAGUAAGACUGCAUACUGCAAGAACCACUGACUGGAUAAUGGGGAUUGGUUUCUAUGGUUGCGUUGUGGGAGAAGGAUUGGGAAAAAUCAUAUGCUUGCCUGCAGACCGAGCUUUCAAAUUUUCACUAUGGUCAUGUGAAUGCCUAGAUCUGAAAGGAUGGAUUUCAUUCAUGAACUGAGACAUGUAAGGGAUCAAAAACUAAAUGGUUUUAGCCAAAUUCUUCAGAGGAAAUUUGGCAGUGAAAAUAAAUAGGUCAAUAAGAGCGCUCUCUCCCUCCCUCCCUCUCUCUCUCUCUCUCUCUUUCCCUCCCUCCCAUUCUGCUUUCAUGAAUAUCUUUCAUGAGGAAAGAGGAAAAUAGACUUUUUAAAUGGGAUUUUUUUUAGCAAACUGUAUUACAAAUA